rnacentral:rRNA from 1 species
AGUGAACGCUGGCGGUAGGCCUAACACAUGCAAGUCGAACGGCAGCACAGUAAGUGCUUGCUCUUACGGGUGGCGAGUGGCGGACGGGUGCGGAAAAUCUCGGAAUCUACUUUUUCGUGGGGGAUAACGCAGGGAAACAUACGCUAAUACCGCAUACGACCUACGGGUGAAAGCAGGGGAUCUUCGGACCUUGCGCGAUUGUAUGAGCCGAUGUCGGGUUAGUUAGUUGGCGGGGUAAAGGCCCACCAAGGCGACGAUCCGGUGCUGGGCUGAGAGGGAUGUCAGCCAAACCGGAACUUAGGCACGGGCCAGACUCCUACGGGAGGGAGCAGGGGGGAAUAUUGGACAAUGGGGGCAAGCCUGAUCCAGGCAUAGCGGGGGGGGGAAAGAGGCCUUCGGGUUGGAAAACCCUUUUGUGGUGAAAGAAAAGCAGCAGGUUAAAAACCCGCUUUUCUGACGGUACCCAAAGAAUAAGCACCGGCUAACUUCGUG